AACGAACGCUGGCGGCAGGCCUAACACAUGCAAGUCGAACGCUUCAGCAAUGAAGAGUGGCAGACGGGUGAGUAACGCGUGGGAACCUUCCCAGUGGUACGGAAUAGCCCAGGGAAACUUGGGGUAAUACCGUAUAAGCCCUUAGGGGGAAAGAUUUAUCGCCAUUGGAUGGGCCCGCGUCGGAUUAGCUUGUUGGUGAGGUAAAAGCUCACCAAGGCGACGAUCCGUAGCUGGUCUGAGAGGAUGAUCAGCCACACUGGGACUGAGACACGGCCCAGACUCCUACGGGGAGGCAGCAGUGGGGAAUAUUGGACAAUGGGCGCAAGCCUGAUCCAGCCAUGCCGCGUGAGUGACGAAGGCCUUAGGGUUGUAAAGCUCUUUUGGCGGGGACGAUAAUGACGGUACCCGCAGAAUAAGCUCCGGCUAACUUCGUG
rnacentral:rRNA from 1 species